AACAGUGAUUCAUCUUCCCUUGAUCUCAACUUCACCUCUUGAAUUUUACAGCUCUUGAUCUCCAUAUCUUCGUCUCCUUUACAGAUCUUCAAGUGCUGCAAGAUAAUGUGAAAAAGAGCGGAAAAAUGAAACUCCCUUAUUUAAGGAAAAGUGAGGAUUUGCUGAGAAAAACGGAAUCGGAGCGGGAGAAUAUUGUCUGGGAAUGGAAGGACCUGCAAAGGUUUCUCCGGGAUCAAGAGGAGCUCUUGUUAAGGCAGUUGGAAGAGCUGGAGAAGGAGAUCAUCACGAGGAGAGACGAGAACCUUUCAAGAAACGGGCAUGGCAGAGCCAGCCGGGGGAAAGG